AUGGACCAAUAGCUGCAGAAAAGUACUUACGCCAGCCAGCGAGCUACCAUGGAUCUGCGCAUGUUUCUACGUUACAUUUUUUAUACAUCUGACCUUAGAUGUAGAUUUGUGCUUACGUCGGGUUUUUGUGCGUAAGUACUCUUUGUACAUGAGACCCCUGGUGUCUAUGGGGCACAUAUUAAUGUCAGUUUUAUUAGGAUUUUUAAUGGCUUGAAUUAAAGGAGAAUGUACGGAGCCCCUUAAAGGACAUACACUAGAGGAAAAAAAUAGGUGAACUAUUGCGGCCUUGCGAGAUCCCGAGAAACUUUGGCUUCAUGUGGACAGAGGAGCUACGAAGUAGCUUCAGGAUGCUCGAAGGAAACUGGAAAAACAGCCAGGACAGAACGGUUGAAUGUAAUAUUGGCUUCAUCACUGCCGAUUCAUCUUGGGUGAAGUUCAGAAUCUGCUGAUGAGAGAAUGUGUGUUGUGGAUCAUUAGUUCAAACAAGCAGCAGUCAAACUAACAUUAGAAGACCAAGGACAAACCAGAAAAAACAGCCGUGACAGAACGGUGGAAUGAACACCAAAAAUUGGCGUCUACGAACAGGAUCCCGCGGCAGGUCGUCUGGACGGUGUGACCAGGGACGAUAGUCCUGAGGACUAGGGUCGCUCAGCCUCCAAACCUCUACAGACAUUCAGAGCUGGGAGGACUGCUCACCCGUCUGGAUCGCCUCUGACGAGAUCCACGAACUCAGAUUCAAACUCAAAUCCUAAUUUGGCUCGGCUCGGUGAGAGAGAUUCCUUUUAAUUUGGGAAAAAACAUAAAAGAAAACAUAACUAGGACUAGAGAUAAUAAUAUUUCUAAAACGACUAUGUGGCUGAAAACAUCUAAAAUAUAAUAAUUAGGACCAAACAAUUUUUUUUAAUUAAAAAAUGUAAUAUUCGGGUAAAAUGAAUUAGGUCAAAGUCUGCCCUGGUGGUCGAGACGGUGGUUGCUAAGGGUUGGCUCGUGGGACCGAGCUUGUUUCGUCUGUACUGAGGAUACAGACCAGUGUGCAGAUCUGAGCGCAGUCCAAAGGGUGUGGACAAGAAAUAAAACACAGCUUCUGAAAUACGGAGCGCGUUUGCAGGGGGAAGUGGUUUUGAGAUACGAGGGACCCGGGUCUUAGAGGGGCCUGACGGUGAGGGACCACUUCCGAGAACCCUGUCGCUGAUCUGAGCGGUUCCCUUUCUACGGAGACGUCCGUGGAAGAGAAAUUUCGAAAAAAGGUUCCGGCCGGAACACGUAAAAAUCUAAGGCAGGAAACCGCCGGGACUCUGAAAGAUGGGUUCGGGGCGAUCUAAGUCUCCACCACCAGACUGCAGCAUUACAAAAGUAAAAGUAAUUAAAAGUAAAAGGUAAAUAUGGUUAUUAGUGUGUUUCAUGUUUCCAUGAGUGGGAAACUGGUUAUAGGUUCAAAAGGAGAAUUACGUAGUGUAAAAGACAUAUGCACCUUUAAAAGAUUUGAAAGAGCAAAACAUCAAAACUAAAGCCCUAAAAGAAACAAAAGAGUGAUGAGAGUAACAGAAAAAAAAAAAAAAAAAAAAGGAGAUAACAACUCUGGGGAAGAAUUGUUUGCACUCUGCCACACACACACACACCACACACACAUCAUGUUAAGAGCAAAUGCUCCCAUUGUUUCUGCUCUCUAUUCUAAUGCAGAACUGAGCGCGAUGAGGGUAAAUCCGGAUCUGGACUCCUUUCCCACCAUCAGCAGAAGAACCGAAGGAGAAGAAGCGCCGACCAACAACCAGAACAGGGUCUGACACCACAGCAGCUGGAGGACACAGACCACAGCAUGGACGCCUCAGCGACUCCCACAACGUCUGCAGCCAUCACGUUCUGGGUUCAUCAGAUGAACCAGCUACUACAAGCGUGUGUGUCUGACACAGACACCUGCUUAUGACAAUCAGCAAAGGAAAACAAGGACAGAGCAACAGCAGAGAAGACGUGCUCUGACACGGACACUGGUUGAAACAACAGGAGAGGCUUCAGACGUGAUCGGCCCAAAAGAGCUGCAUCUGAGGAUCCAGGAAAGGUCUGUCAUCGAGGAACAACUGUCCCAUUGAAAGGCUUCACCCACUGGCGCUCACAUCAGACUGAUGGUUGGGGAAGGAGGAAGGUGACGGUUCCUUUUCACGUGACGUAGAAGACGGUACCGCAAAACACACACACAUUCAUACACGCAAUGAAGAAACACGCUUACAGCUGAUACACGCUCAAAUUCAUGUUCAUGCUUAUCUGCUCGCAAUGAAGAAUCGCUUUCUGCUCAAAAAAAAAUCCCACAGAGUGAUUUUACAAUGAUGACAAACAGCUAAACGACAACUGCUGCAUGACUUUACAGUCUGAUGGGUUCAAACUAUUUUAACUUGCAACAAAUUCAGUAAUAAAAUCCUCUAUGUUUCUAAAAGGGUUUGUGCACAAUAUAGGUUUGUCUGGCCAGACUAGAAGACUAUAGGAAACAAAACAGACUGUAGAAAAACAAAACAGACUGUAGAAAAAACAAAAAAACAGACUAUGUGAAGGCUGAAACUGACUGAGACUGACUGAAACAGACUAUUAAUGACUAUUAAAGGGAAGACGACUAUUAGAGAGAAGUAAUAAUAAUUACUGUACGUACCAGACUAUUAAAGAAAACUUACUGUUUCACUGUCUUGUGCAACAUCUGACAGCAAGACACCUUAACAUUCAUUUUUGCUUUCAAACUUGUGCCCAGUUAAAUUUUUAGGAAGAGAUUUCAUGUGUAAAUUAGGUAUUUGAUUGAUUUCCACUCCAGACAGAGUGCAGGUUACGUCUACAGACAUUCUAAAUAAUCCCUCUUUUGUUGGUGUUAACUUCAGCUCAGCUGUGCUCUUAUCAUUGGCUGCUGAGGGGGGGCUGUAACUGAGGCCCUCACACAGGCUGCAUCACAGCUUGUUUAUGAUUUCACACACACACACAAACUGACCUCAACUUCCCUCUUUUGGGAGGAACACAGGUCUGCGCUUGCGAUUUCUUUUACUAACGAACAAAAAAGAUUUUUGAUGUUUAUUCUACAGUUCCACACGUCCCUCUGUGAAAACAUGAUGGAGACAGACGCAGGACGUGGGUCCUUUCGUGAACAGAUGUCAACGGGGUGGAGACUGGUGAACGACUUCUGACCCCAUGUGACGUAUUCACCUACUUUGCAUAGUUUUAGAAAACUUAUUUUUAUUCUGCCUGUUAUGUGCAGCAAACAGUGAACUUGGUACCUCCACCUUCUAAUGACACACUACAUGCUUUUGUUUUUAUUUUUAUUUUUCAGAGGACGCUCUGACCCAACACUCAGCCUUACAGGAAGCCCUGCUUCCCUGUGGCUCACACACAGACAUGAUGUAGGUUCGAUCAGAGGAUGUGAACCAGUGGUCAUCACACCUAAAUCUGACCACAGACCAUGUAAACAACAUCACCCUCUGGAAGAAGCCAUAGAUGGCGUUACUGCAGACACCACUAAGCUACUGAAUCAUUGGAUGCUACAGGCCACAAAGAGAGCCUGUCUAAAUUACAGUUUGUUCAGACAAAGGUUAUUUUCUGGGUCAUUGUAAUUACAGCUGAUGGCAAAUCCAUCUCACCCAACAGAGUUGAAGCAAUUUGAAACCUGCCUAAACUGUGCACGUAUAAACAGCUUAUCUUUUCUAGGUUUUCGUUCUUAUUGUAGGAACUUCAGUCCUAACUUUACUGUCUUUGAGGCCCCACUCAGGGUUCUGAUGCAGACAUCUUCAUCGUCCACUUCUUGUCUCACGUGGACGUCUGAGGCUGAACAACGUUCACCGACCUCAUGCUUGCUCUUCAGUUGGCUCCUACUUUGGGUCUUCCUGAUCUGACCCUACGCGACCUUUCACUCAAACAGUGGAUGAGAAAUCAGGUUGUACGACUUCUGUUCUUUGUCCUCAUACUGUGUCUUUGAUUCUUUUGAAAAACAUCACAUCUUUCUACAGCCCGAUGGCUUAGAUGCAACACCACUUUGCUCAACAUGCUGAACGUUACUAUCAAGAGGCCGUCUUGAAGUCUGGCUCUUUGCUAAGACACUACUCUGCUCAGGCUGCAGAGUUGAUCACAUUGACUGAAGCUAGUAAACGAGCAGAAGGAGAGUCUGUUACCAUCUACACAGACUCACAGACGCUCUGUGGAAGCAUAGGAAGCUUUUUUGAAGUCUAAUUGCAAACCUAUCUCACAUCAUGAUUAGGUUCUGCUUUGCUGGACGCUGUCCUGCUGCCUACAGCUAAUGCUGUUUUUACAUCAUCAGUGACGACUUUGUUUCUGCCGACAUGCAGCUGCAGACGCUGCUGCGAAGGACGACAACCCCUCCCUCUCCUGAUCCUCGUUUCCUCUCCUCAUCCUUGUUCCCUCUCUCCAACUCUCUCUAUCCUUUCCUUCCUCAUCUCCCUGUGCUUUAAACAUUUUGUACCUCACAGGAACGCAGACUCUGGCUGACGAAUGGUUCCACCUGUAGCCAUGGAGUCUGGUUUGGGCCUGAUGGCAGCCGUGCCGCCCAAACACCUUUUCCCCAUAAUUCAGAUUUCCAACAGGUGAAAACAGGCGACAGGACCACUACACCAUCCAACCAGGGCACUGGGUGAUCGUUAAGGAGUUCAGGAGGAAGCACUGGGACUCCAAGCGGUGGCAAGGUCCCUUCCAAGUCCUUCUGACGACCAACACGGCUGUGAAGAUCGCAGAAAGAGCGACUUGGAUCCACUCCAGCCACUGCAGGAAGGUCCCGGAUCCGACAGACGACCCUCCAUCUACAUCUACACCACACGAGAAAACCACCACUGACGAAAAGAAUUGAGAAGGACGACCCUCGCUGUGCUCACACACGCACUGAGGCGAGGCUGCGUUGACCGUUCAGCUAAAGGUGUGAGCCAAGCGCCACCUGAAGCUGCGCCGGUGAAUCACACUAUCAGACCAAACAUCUACACACACGUUCCUGAGAAAACACACACACGAGCAGCCUUGAGUUGCCGACGCUGGACGACGUGUAGACUCUUCACAUCACGGGAGUGACAGUGACUCAGACGACAUUGGGAGGAAACCUGGCGGUGAUAACGAAUCCCAAGUGUCUCUGUGAUCAGCUGAUCACAACCUGAAGAACCCCAACGAACAAUCAAUACUUCAACACACAGGUUGGAAACAAUCUAACGCUACUGUUCAACAGGACGAAGCAGAUUGUUACAAGACAUCAAUUGUAACCUCGUUGCGUUAGACAUUUUAUGUUACUCUGAUUAUUGCCUUGAUCAUAUGAUGUUUUUCAUGUAACUUUGCACAC